UACAGAGGGUGCGAGCGUUGUUCGGAAUUACUGGGCGUAAAGCGCGCGCAGGCGGCCCUUUAAGUCCAUCGGUCAAAUGCCGGAGCUCAACUCCGUGCGUGCCGAGGAUACUGGAGGGCUGGAGACACGUAGAGGCAAGCGGAAUUCCGGGUGUAGCGGUGGAAUGCGUAGAGAUCCGGAAGAACACCGGAGGCGAAGGCGGCUUGCUGGACCGGUUCUGACGCUGAGGCGCGAAGCGUGGGAGCAAACGGG
rnacentral:rRNA from 1 species